rnacentral:rRNA from 1 species
AUUGAACGCUGGCGGCAGACCUAACACAUGCAAGUCGAACGAGUGGCGGACGGGUGAGUAAUGUCUGGGAAACUGCCCGAUGGAGGGGGAUAACUACUGGAAACGGUAGCUAAUACCGCAUACCAUCGGAUGUGCCCAGAUGGGAGUAGCUUGUGGGGGAGGUAACGGCUCACCUAGGCGACGAUCCCUAGCUGGUCUGAGAGGAUGACCAGCCACACUGGAACGGGGACCCGGCCCAGACUCCAACGGGAGGCAGCAGUGGGGAAUAUUGGAAAAUGGGGGAAAGCUUGCUGCAGCCAUCCCGCGUGUAGGAGGAAGGCCUUCGGGUUGUAAAGUACUUUCAGCGGGGAGGCGUUACCCGCAGAAGAAGCACCGGCUAACUCCGUGCCAGCAGCCGCGGUAAUUC